UUAAGCUACUAAGAGCGUAGGGGGAAUGCCUUGGCACCAAGAGCCGAAGAAGGACGUGAUAAGCUGCGAAAAGCUACGGGGAGGAGCACAUAUCCAGAGAGCCGUAGAUAUCCGAAUGAGGGAACUCAAUCUAGGUAAAUGCUAGAUUAUCAUCACAUGAGUAAAGUAGUGUGAAUGAGGGGAACGUGGGGAACUGAAACAUCUUAGUACCCAUAGGAAGAGAAAAUAAAAAUGAUUCCGUAAGUAGUGGCGAGCGAAAGCGGAGGAGCCCAAACCUGAGUGAGCAAUCACUAUCAGGGGUUAGGACAUGCAACAAAUUCCAAGAAAGAGUGUAGUAGAAGUGUUUUGGGAAAGCACACCAAAGAGAGUGAAAGUCUCGUAUAUGAAACACGAAAGAAGGAAGAGUAUGAUCCAGAGUAAGACAGGACACGAGAAAUCCUGUGUGAAUGAGCGGGGACCAUCCCGUAAGGCUAAAUACUACUUGGUGACCGAUAGUGAAAUAGUACCGUGAGGGAAAGGUGAAAAGAACCCCGGGAGGGGAAUGAAAUAGAAUCUGAAACCCUAUGCUUACAAGCAGAUAGAGCACGUUAAAGUGUGAUAUCGUACUUUUUGCAGAACGGUCCGGCGAGUUACUGUAUAUGGCAAGGAGAAGAGUUUAAGACUAAUAUCCGAAGCGAAAGCGAGUCUGAAUAGGGCGAAAUAAGUCAUGUGCAGUAGACCCGAAACCGAGUGACCUAUCCAUGUCCAGGAUGAAGCUAGAGUGAAAUCUAGUGGAGGUCCGCACCAGUAGACGUUGAAAAGUCUUUGGAUGAGGUGUGGAUAGCGGAGAAAUUCUAAUCGAACUCGGAUAUAGCUGGUUCUCCUCGAAAUAGCUUUAGGGCUAGCCUUGAACAAAAACCAUAUGGGGGUAGAGCACUGAAUGAGCUAGGGGCCAAACAAAGGUUACCAAACUUUAUCAAACUACGAAUACCAUGUGGGAGGUUCAGGAGUCAGACUACGGGAGCUAAGUUCCGUGGUCAAAAGGGAAAGAGCCCAGACCGUCAAUUAAGGUCCCAAAGAUAUAACUAAGUGGAAAACGAUGUGAUUUUGCGCAGACAACCAGGAUGUUGGCUUAGAAGCAGCCAUUCAUUUAAAGAGUGCGUAAUAGCUCACUGGUCGAGUGAAGUUGCGCGGAAAAUUACCGGGGCUAAGUUAUACACCGAAAUUGCGGAUUCAUUAAGAAAUUAAUGAGUGGUAGAGGAGCGUUCUAUACAGGAUGAAGUAUGAUCGAGAGGACAUAUGGACAGUAUAGAAGAGAGAAUGCCGGAAUGAGUAGCGAGAGCAAAGUGAGAAUCUUUGCCGUCGAAAAUCUAAGGUUUCCUGGGGAAGGUUCGUCCGCCCAGGGUAAGUCGGGACCUAAGGUGAGGCCGAAGGGCGUAGCCGAUGGACAGCAGGUUAAGAUUCCUGCACCAGUAUACAUGUAUAAUGCAUAAGAGGACACAUUUGAAGAAGGUGAGCGAGGAAGAGGAAAAACUCGUAUGGCAACAUAUAGUGAAAUUAAGUAACGAAUCAUCAAGAGGCAAGUGGCGAGAAAAGUCUUAUGUAGUUGUGUAGACUGCCCGUACCGCAAACCGACACAGGUAGAUGAGGAGAGGAUCCUAAGACGAGCGGGAGAAGCAUUGUUAAGGAACUCGGCAAAUUGACCCCGUAACUUAGGGAUAAGGGGUGCUGGUGUAAAAGCCAGUCGCAGUAAAUAGGCCCAAGCAACUGUUUAACAAAAACACAGGUUUCUGCUAAAUCGCAAGAUGAAGUAUAGGAGCUGACUCCUGCCCAGUGCUGGAAGGUUAAGGGGAAAGGUUAAGAAUAAUUCAUUAUAUCUGAAGCUUUGAACUCAAGCCCCAGUGAACGGCGGCCGUAACUAUAACGGUCCUAAGGUAGCGAAAUUCCUUGUCGGGU
rnacentral:rRNA from 1 species